UGCCAGCCACCGCGGUAACACGGGGGGCGCAAGCGUUAUUCGGAAUUAUUGGGCGUAAAGGGCGCGCAGGCGGUCUUAUCAGUCAGAUGUGAAAGCCCGGGGCUCAACCCCGGACGUGCAUUUGAAACAGUAAGACUUGAGUACGGGAGAGGAAAGCGGAAUUCCUGGUGUAGAGGUGAAAUUCGUAGAUAUCAGGAGGAACACCGGUGGCGAAGGCGGCUUUCUGGACCGAUACUGACGCUGAGGUGGGAAGGCGUGGGGAGCUAACAGGAUUAGAUA
rnacentral:rRNA from 1 species